CCGGCCCUUUUCAAUAAUGCAGAGAGAGAGAGAAAAUAAAAAUAUUAGAAAGAUAAUAACACGUAAUAACAAAAGUAAUGAUAAAUACACAAUGAGUAACACUGUUUUUAAAACUUACGUCGUUCACAUCAUUUAAGCGUGAAUGUCAUGUAAGCGACUGAGCAAACACUUUGGAAUGAAUGAUCACCCUGUACAACUUUGACUAAAAUAUGUAAAGAAAAACCAAAGGCCUAACCAGGCAGAUUACACAAAGACCACCAAAAAUAACCACUAUGGGAAACAGUUUAUUUUAAAUCAUGUCCACAAUCCUGCAUAAUUACAAAAUUGAACAAUCAGAUGCUUUCAAAUAUUUUUUAUCUUUAUUAUCUCUUUAUCAGCACAACCGUAUAGAAAAAUACAAAGCCCAGAGAGUAAUCAUUGCUCACUGAUAGUGACAGUGGAAAGACAAAUGUCUAACCACUGGGACGACCGCUAGAGAUCUGGAAGAAAGGGGGCUCACAUUUGCAAGCAAAUUAUAUUUUGGGAGAGCUGGCAGCAGUGUGCAUGUGUGUACAUGUUAUAUGUGUGUGUGUGUGCACACAGCAGGUAUCGUUCCUCUUUCCAAGAGUCAGAAGGGAAUCUGAAACUACAAUUCCAUUUUCAACGCUUCUCUAUGAGUACAAAUUUGGAAUUUCAGUUUACUUCCUGAAUUGAAAUGGAAUUUACUCCCAACUCUGGCUCUAACUUUUAUCUCACCAACAAACAAUAUCCUAACUAACCGGUUUAACUAACAAUUGGUUGAAUCAACCAAACGUUUGAUGAGGUGGCAUUACAUGUCCCAGUGAAACUAACUAUGGGUGGAUAUAUUUCAUUCAAGAUGUAGUAUAAGUAGUACAGUACGUGAUAACUUGUAAUCAUUAGUACAAACGAAUGAGUUUCUAUUGGAGAAAUUCAGGUGGGUCCCUCCCCGUUUUGUCCAUUUAAGAACAUUUUGCAACAGAAUCGGCAUAAUGAAUACACCCCUGAUAUGAUUUUGGAGUGUUUCCUGUUUCAACAGCUUAGUCUCCUGCAUUGUAUCAAAUCCUGAUAAAGGGUAGGAAUGUGUGUGCUAUUGAAAACACCUGUGAGUUUCUCGUGAAACUGGGCUUUGUGGUUCCCUGCAAGAGCGCAAAAUUGAGUGGUGUCAAUAGUGACAUGGUGCCAUACACAGAGGCCCUUAAGGAGUGGACUCACUUCGUGUCUCUCAUAAUGGGCUGACUCACAUAUGAAUUUCCUCUUUUACAGAUACCUAAAGCAAUGCAUUAAUAAGACAGCUUGUCAAUAU
rnacentral:lncRNA from 13 species